AGAGUUUGAUCAUGGCUCAGAAUCAACGCUGGCGGCGUGCCUCAGACAUGCAAGUCGAACGAUUAAAGCUCUCUUCGGAGAGUGUAUAGAGUGGCGCACGGGUGAGUAACACGUAAGUAAUCUACCCUCGAGUGGGGAAUAACAACCGGAAACGGUUGCUAAUACCGCAUAAUGCAGCGGCACCGCAAGGUGACAGUUGUUAAAGAUUUAUCGCUUGAGGAGGAGCUUGCGGCAGAUUAGCUAGUUGGUAGGGUAACGGCUUACCAAGGCUACGAUCUGUAACCGGUCUAAGAGGACGGUCGGUCACACUGACACUGAAUAACGGGUCAGACUCCUACGGGAGGCAGCAGUCGGAAUUUUGGGCAAUGGGCGAAAGCCUGACCCAGCAACGCCGCGUGAAGGAUGAAGUAUUUCGGUAUGUAAACUUCGAAAGAAUAGGAAGAAUUAAUGACGGUACUAUUUAUAAGGUCCGGCUAACUACGUG
rnacentral:rRNA from 1 species